AACAGUACGUGAAACCGCAUGCAGGUAAACGGGUGGCGUCAAGCUGCAAGCCCAGAGGAUUCAGCUGGCUAGGAUGUUGUGUAUGCGCUUGCGCAUCUAUCAGUCAGAAUAAGAUGUGAUAGUCCACUGGUAAACGGUGGGCCCGGCCGCAAGGUUGGGAUAUGUGUACCGGGCGGAAGCCGGAGCAUGCUAUUCGUCUGUUGGGCUGUCUAGUCAGUGCACUUUCUCUGUGGUGAACACCACGACCGGUGGAAUUGCCAGUCUGCUGUAGUCAAGUCGUAUUCAGUCGGUUCUUGUAGCCAACUGGGUGCGAUCACAGGCAAACUCAGUAAACGGCGUAGGGGUGUUUCGGCAUCCUUGCGUGUUAUCGGCUGCUGGUUGUCAACGGGCCUGCCUGAUGAUUGUUGUAACCGUCAUUGGGUGGUCUGGUGGACUAUGGUGGUAAGAAUAACUGUGCAAGGCAUCGGAGUUCUCGGCCUCAAAUGCAUCCUGCAUACACGUUACAAGUGGAGUGGGGUGCCAUUGCAGCCUGCCUGUUGUUGGGUCUGAUUGUCGUGUCGCCUGCGCAAAGUGGGCCCGGCAGUGGCCUGAUGCGGGAUGGGUUGUGGAUGGUGCUUCCUGUGUAGGGUGCGGUGGGUCAAAUAGUCAGUGGUG
rnacentral:rRNA from 1 species